GGCGGCGGCGGCGGCGGCUGCGGCGGCGGCACCAUGAGCGGCCGGAAGCGCAGUUUCACCUUCGGGGCCUACGGAGGGGUGGACAAGUCCUUCACCCCUCGCCGAAGUGUGUGGAGGAGUGAUGGGCAGAACCAGCGCUUCCCUCAGGCACUAGACCUGCCACGAGUGGACUUAGUUCCCUCCCACACUGCUUCACCCUACCCUAAGAACACAGAUCUGUUUGAGAUGAUUGAAAAGAUGCAGGGAAGCAGGAUGGAUGAACAACGAUGCUCCUUCCCACCACCCCUCAAAACGGAGGAGGACUACAUUCCCUACCCGAGCGUCCACGAGGUCCUGGGGCGAGAAGGGCCCUUCCCCCUUAUUCUGCUGCCCCAGUUCGGGGGCUACUGGAUUGAAGGCACCAAUCACGAAAUCACCAGCAUCCCAGAGACGGAGCCACUGCAGUCACCCACAACCAAGGUGAAGCUGGAGUGCAACCCCACAGCCCGCAUCUACCGGAAGCACUUUCUCGGCAAGGAGCAUUUUAAUUACUACUCACUGGACACUGCCCUGGGCCACCUUGUCUUCUCACUCAAGUACGAUGUCAUUGGGGACCAGGAGCACCUGCGACUGCUGCUCAGGACCAAAUGCCGGACAUACCACGAUGUCAUCCCCAUCUCCUGCCUCACCGAGUUCCCCAACGUGGUCCAGAUGGCAAAGCUGGUGUGUGAAGAUGUGAAUGUGGAUCGAUUCUAUCCUGUGCUCUAUCCCAAGGCUUCCCGCCUCAUUGUCACCUUCGACGAGCAUGUCAUCAGCAAUAACUUCAAGUUCGGAGUCAUUUAUCAGAAGCUCGGGCAGACCUCUGAGGAAGAACUCUUCAGCACCAACGAGGAGAGCCCCGCCUUCGUGGAGUUCCUCGAAUUUCUUGGCCAGAAGGUCAAACUGCAGGACUUUAAGGGGUUCCGAGGAGGCCUGGACGUGACCCACGGGCAGACGGGGACCGAGUCUGUGUACUGCAACUUCCGCAACAAGGAGAUCAUGUUUCACGUGUCCACCAAGCUGCCCUACACAGAAGGGGACGCCCAGCAGUUGCAGCGGAAGCGGCACAUCGGGAACGACAUCGUGGCUGUGGUCUUCCAGGACGAGAACACGCCCUUUGUGCCAGACAUGAUCGCGUCCAACUUCCUGCACGCCUACGUGGUGGUGCAGGCCGAGGGCGGGGGCCCUGACGGCCCGCUGUACAAGGUGUCCGUCACUGCACGAGACGAUGUUCCCUUCUUUGGGCCACCCCUCCCAGACCCCGCUGUGUUCAGAAAGGGGCCUGAGUUCCAGGAAUUUUUGCUGACAAAACUGAUCAAUGCUGAAUAUGCUUGCUACAAGGCAGAGAAGUUUGCCAAACUGGAGGAGCGGACACGGGCUGCCCUUCUGGAGACGCUCUAUGAGGAGCUACACAUCCACAGCCAGUCCAUGAUGGGCCUGGGUGGCGACGAGGACAAGAUGGAGAACGGUGGCGGGGGCGGCGGCUUUUUCGAGUCUUUCAAGCGGGUCAUCCGGAGCCGCAGCCAGUCCAUGGAUGCCAUGGGGCUAAGCAACAAGAAGCCCAACACUGUAUCCACCAGCCACAGCGGGAGCUUCACACCCAACAACCCCGACCUGGCCAAGGCGGCUGGAAUAUCAUUGCUUAUUCCUGGGAAAAGUGCGAGUAGAUUCGGACGCCGGGGCAGUGCCAUAGGCAUAGGAACCGUGGAAGAGUCACUGAUUGUCCCUGGGAAGAGCCCCACGAGGAAGAAGUCGGGCCCAUUCGGCUCACGCCGCAGCAGUGCCAUCGGCAUCGAGAACAUACAGGAGGUGCAGGAGAAAAGGCCCAGUGCUGAAUCCCCCCACUGCCCCUGUGUGCCCCGCAGGGAGAGCCCCCCGGCUGGCCAGAAGACUCCAGACAGCGGGCACGUCUCACAGGAGCCCAAGUCGGAGAACUCAUCCACUCAGAGCUCCCCAGAGAUGCCCACGACCAAAAACAGAGUGGAGACAGCAGCUCAAAGAGCAGAAGUGUUGAAGGACUUCUCCCGCUCCUCGUCCAGUGCCAGCAGCUUCGCCAGCGUCGUGGAGGAAGCAGAGGGUGUGGACGGGGACGAUACAGGCCUGGAAAGUGUCUCAUCCUCAGGGACACCCCACAAGCGGGACUCAUUCAUCUAUAGCACGUGGCUGGAGGACAGUGUCAGCACCACAAGCGGGGGCAGCUCCCCAGUGAGGUGGCUCCCUCCUGCCUCCCUCCCCAGGCCCCUCUCGGUCACCCCACCCAGAUGGCGGCAAGUCGGGGGACCCUGCAUGUCCCGAGAUCAAGAUCCAGCUGGAAGCAUCUGAACAGCACAUGUCCCAGCUGGGCUGAUAGCCAGGCUGCCCCCUGAAGGUGACACUGAGCAGAUGAGGCCACAGAAGCACAAUGUGAAGCUGCCGUGUCAAAUCCAGGCAGACAGGACCUCCGCCCCGAGGCCAGCACCAGCCUGUGGGCUGCCCUCUGCCUCCACAACCCUCCUCUUGGCCCACAGUCUACACUGUCUCUGCAGGGCGGAGCCGUCCAGACCUGGGAGU